AGGCUUCGGCCUCAGUGGCGAACGGCGGAGUAAUACAUAAGCAACGUGCCCUGAAGACUGGGAUAGCCCGGGGAAACCCGGAGUAAUACCGGAUGUGGCCAUCUUGAGUAUCUCGAGAUGAUUAAAUGGUUUUUCGCUUCAGGAGCGGCUUAUGGCCUAUCAGCUAGUUGGCGAGGUAACGGCUCACCAAGGCGACGACGGGUAACGGGUCUGAGAGGAUGAUCCGUCCGAGUGGGACUGAGACACGGCCCACACACCUACGGGUGGCAGCAGUUGGGAAUCUUGCACAAUGGGGGAAACCCUGAUGCAGCGACGCCGCGUGGAGGAUGAAGGAUCUAGGUCUGUAAACUCCUUUUGUCAGGAAAGACUUAGGACGGUACCUGACGAAUAAGCACCGGCUAACUACGUGCCAGCAGCCGCGGUAAGACGUAGGGUGCAAGCGUUGUCCGGAUUUACUGGGCGUAAAGAGCGCGUAGGCGGUCUGUUAAGUGUGAAGUGAAAUCUCCAGGGCUCAACCCGGAAACUGCUUCGCAUACUGGCAGACUGGAGGGAUGCAGAGGUGAGUGGAAUUCCUGGUGUACCGGUGAAAUGGGUAGAUAUCAGGAGGAACACCCGUGGCGAAGGCGGCUCACUGGGCAUCUCCUGACGCUGAGGCGCGAAAGUGUGGGUAGCAAACAGGAUUAGAUACCCUGGUAGUCCACACCCUAAACGAUGGAUACUAGGCGUGAGAGGUAUCGACCCCUCUCGUGCCGCAGCUAACGCACUAAGUAUCCCGCCUGGGGAGUACGGCCGCA
rnacentral:rRNA from 1 species